CAGCGUUGUUCGGAAUUACUGGGCGUAAAGCGUGCGCAGGCGGUUUUGUAAGUCAGAUGUGAAAUCCCCGGGCUUAACCUGGGAAUGGCAUUUGGGACUGCAAGGCUCGAGUGCGGCAGAGGAGACUGGAAUUCCUGGUGUAGCAGUGAAAUGCGUAGAUAUCAGGAGGAACACCGAUGGCGAAGGCAGGUCUCUGGGCUGACACUGACGCUCAUGCACGAAAGCGUGGGGAGCAAACAGG
rnacentral:rRNA from 1 species